rnacentral:rRNA from 1 species
AGAGUUUGAUCAUGGCUCAGGACGAACGCUGGCGGCGUGCUUAACACAUGCAAGUCGAACGGAAAGGCCCUUUCGGGGGUGCUCGAGUGGCGAACGGGUGAGUAACACGUGAGUAACCUGUCCUGGUCUUUGGGAUAACCUUCGGAAACGGGGGCUAAUACCGGAUAUUCCCGCAUUGUCGCAUGGUGGUGUGGGGAAAGUUUUUUCGGACUGGGGUGGGCUCGCGGCCUAUCAGCUUGUUGGUGGGGUGAUGGCUUACCAAGGCUUUGACGGGUAGCCGGCCUGAGAGGGCGACCGGCCACACUGGGACUGAGACACGGCCCAGACUCCUACGGGAGGCAGCAGUGGGGAAUAUUGCACAAUGGACGCAAGUCUGAUGCAGCGACGCCGCGUGAGGGAUGACGGCCUUCGGGUUGUAAACCUCUUUCGCCAAGGACGAAGGGCCUGUGAGGGUUUGACGGUACUUGGAGAAGAAGCGCCGGCCAACUACGUGCCAGCAGCCGCGGUA